rnacentral:rRNA from 1 species
GAUGGGCAUGCGGCGCAUUAGCUAGUCGGCGGGGUAACGGCCCACCGAGGCGACGAUGCGUAGGGGUUCUGAGAGGAAGGUCCCCCACACUGGUACUGAGACACGGACCAGACUCCUACGGGAGGCAGCAGUGAGGAAUAUUGGUCAAUGGGCGCGAGCCUGAACCAGCCAAGUCGCGUGAGGGAUGGCGGUCCUACGGAUUGUAAACCUCUUUUGCCGGGGAGCAAGCGUGCGUUCGUGAACGCGCGUCGAGAGUACCCGGAGAAAAAGCAUCGGCUAACUCCGUGCCAGCAGCCGCGGUAAUACGGAGGAUGCGAGCGUUAUCCGGAUUUAUUGGGUUUAAAGGGUGCGUAGGCGGGAUGCCAAGUCAGCGGUAAAAAUGCGGUGCUCAACGCCGUCGAGCCGUUGAAACUGGCGUUCUUGAGUGGGCGAGAAGUAUGCGGAAUGCGUGGUGUAGCGGUGAAAUGCAUAGAUAUCACGCAGAACUCCGAUUGCGAAGGCAGCAUACCGGCGCCCUACUGACGCUGAGGCACGAAAGCGUGGGUAUCGAACAGGAUUAGAUACCCUGGUAGUCCACGCAGUAAACGAUGAAUGCUAACUGUCCGGUGCGAGUGAGCGCUGG